UACAGAGGUCCCAAGCGUUGUUCGGAUUCACUGGGCGUAAAGGGUGCGUAGGUGGUCGGGUAAGUCUGAUGUGAAAUCUCGGAGCUCAACUCCGAAACUGCAUUGGAUACUAUUCGGCUGGAGGGUUGGAGGGGGGACUGGAAUUCUCGGUGUAGCAGUGAAAUGCGUAGAUAUCGAGAGGAACACCAGUGGCGAAGGCGAGUCCCUGGACAACUCCUGACACUAAGGCACGAAAGCUAGGGGAGCAAACAGG
rnacentral:rRNA from 1 species